CCAAGGGAACCCCGUAACACAUUCAGAACCCAACAUCAAGGUCCGUAUGGCCCAUAUAGCACCCAAAGGGACUCUAUAACACCUAUAGAACCCAAUAUCAAGGUCUGUAUAGCACCUAUAGCACCCAAAGGCACCCCGUAACACCUAUAGCACCCAAUGACAAGGUCCACAUGGCCCCUACAGCAUCCAAAGGCACCCCAUAACGCCUAUAGCUCCCAACAUUAAUGUCCAUAUGGCCAAUACAGCACCCAAAGAAACCCUACAUCACCUAUAGAACCCAACGACAAGGUCCAUAUGGCCCCUGCAGCACCCAAAGGCACCCUAUAACACCUAUAGAACCCAACGACAAGGUCCAUAUGGCCCCUACAGCACCCAAGGACAAGGUCCAUAUGCCCCCUACAGCACCCAAAGGCACCCUGUAACACCUAUAGCACCCAACAUCAAGGUCCAUAUGGCACCUAUAGCACCCAAGGGAACCCCAUAACACCUACAGAACCCAACAGCAAGGUCCAUAUGGCCCCUGCAGUACCCAAAGGAACCCUACAACACCUAUAGAGCCCAACAUCAAGGUCCAUAUAGCACCUAUAGCACCCAAAGGCACCCCAUAUCACCUAUAGAACCCAACGACAAGGUCCGUAUGGCCCCUACAGCACCCAAAGGCACCCCAUAACGCCUAUAGCACCCAACAUUAAUGUCCAUAUGGCCAAUACAGCACCCAAAGGCACCCUAUA
ensembl:lncRNA